rnacentral:rRNA from 1 species
CGCGUAGGCGGAUUCUCAAGUCCGGGGUGAAAUCCUCCAGCUCAACUGGAGAACUGCCUCGGAUACUGGGUGUCUCGAGGGUGGUAGGGGUAUGCGGAACUAUCGGUGGAGCGGUGAAAUGCGUUGAUAUCGAUAGGAACUCCGGUGGCGAAGGCGGCAUACUGGACCACAUCUGACGCUGGGGCGCGAAAGCCAGGGAGCAACG